rnacentral:rRNA from 1 species
CGGGAAACCGGAGCUAAUACCGGAUAAUAUUCGAACCGCAUGGUUCGAUAGUGAAAGGUGGUUUGCUAUCACUUAUGGAUGGACCCGCGCCGUAUUAGCUAGUUGGUAAGGUAACGGCUUACCAAGGCGACGAUACGUAGCCGACCUGAGAGGGUGAUCGGCCACACUGGAACUGAGACACGGUCCAGACUCCUACGGGAGGCAGCAGAA